GGAGGGAUGUCACAUGUGACGGAUGUGAACGCAGACAAAUCAACAGCAAACAUCGGCAAACUCUGCAAGGCCGAGUCUCAGACUCUCAUGUCGUGGAGACGCUGUGUCUUUCGUUAAAAAAAACGGCUGCUUCACGAACGCUUUGGUUAAAAGUGGGGCUAUUCCAACCAUUAAAACUUUACAAGGACAGUCUGGCGCUUCUGAUUUGCAGCCUUGGAUAAGAACAGAUAUUCAGAUGAGUCUACAGCGCUGGAAUCUACAGCUGUGGAGCAGGCGGAGGAGGAGGAGACCAUGUGUCACAUUUGACGGAGAUGUGAACGCAGACAAAUCAGCAGCAACCAUCGGCAAACUCUGCAAGGCCGAUUCUCAGACUCAGACUCAGACGCUGUGUCUUUCGUUGCAAAAAGAAAGACCCUUUGUUUGCCCUGCCAUCAUAACACAACUGAAAAGGAAUGGUUCAAUUUUAUUUACAAUACUGUUCCAGAAAAGUACAAACCGAAUGUUCAAGUUUGUGCAGCUCAUUUCCAGACGACUGCUUCACGAACGCUUUGGUUAAAAGUGGGGCUAUUCCAACCAUAAAUACUUUACAAGGACAGUCUGGCGCUUCCGAUUCGCAGCCUGAGCAGACGGCUGGGGGGGAUGUCACAUGUGACGGGGAUGUGAACGCAGACAAAUCAGCAGCAAACAUCGGCAAACUCUGCAAGGCCGAGUCUCUGACUCUCAUGUCACUUAGGCGGCCCCUCGAAAGAAGAUUUCGAAGAGGAGACCACGACCCCGUCAGCAGCUGCGGCAGAAGCGACCACUGCUAGCCAUCGAACCACCUCCCGAGGGGAAGAAGAUGCAGAUCACACCCCUAGUCCCCCCGUCACUGUCCCUGGGUGCUUGGCUCAAGUGGUAAAUGUUUAGAGUUUCGAGGCAUCCUCUCAACCUUAGUCAGAGGCAGGGAUGCUCCCGUACUGUGGGCCGAGGUCGCCAGCCUGGUUACGAGUCCGACUCACUAACCAUUGUCACUUUCGAUGGUUCGGGGACCCCGUGUCGAGACCGUUCUCCAGACGUGGACAACUAUUCUGAAGACGAUGACAGUUAUUCUUCAGCAGUGUUGGGGGUAACGCGUUACAAGUAACGUGCGUUACGUAAUAACAUUACUUUUCUGGAGUAACGAGUAAAGUAAUGCACUACUUUUUAAAUUUACACAUUAAUAUUUGAGUUACUUUUUACACAUUUAGAAAUAUCAUCAGCAAAAUCUCUGUGACAGGGAAAAGGCCGGGAGUCGUGCUGCCCGAUCGUAAAACCUUUGCAAGCUUUUUGGAUAAUGCAUAUAUGGAAAUGGAGACCGAACUAAAGAAAACUUUUGCCGACUUGGAAUAUGUUUCAACCACUGCAGAUCUAUGGACUGCUCAGAAUAAAAGUUUUCUGGGAAUUACAGUACACUGGAUAGAUCCUGCUACUCUGCAUCGGAAAAAAGCUGCAAUCGCCUGCAGACGAUUUCGUGGGAGACACACGUACGAUACCAUCGCAGCGGAGUUAGAGCAAAUUCACAUCUCAUAUGCUCUUUGUGGUAAGAUAACUGCCACGGUCACUGACAAUGGCUCGAACUUUGUCAAAGCUUUCAGAAUGUUUCAAGCUGACGAUGAUAAUGAAACCGAGAAUGAUGAAGACGAGGUCAUAUUUACGGACUUGCACGCAGUUUUACGAGAUGACAUUGAGUCCAGCGAACGGAGGUCAGUGAUGAUGCCGUUCAGGGUCAGGUCAGCACUUCUCAUUAUGUCAAUCAUCACAACAAAAAUCCACUGCAGUUUUAUUAUUGUAUUGUAUGUUUCUGUCAGAAUAAAUACUGUCUUGUGUGUUAACAGUGGAUAUGAACAGAAGUUCAGAUGCGUCUAUAGCGCUUCACUCUACAGCUGUUGAGCAGACGGCUGGGGGGGAUGUCACAUGUGACGGAGAUGUGAACGCAGACAAAUCAACAGCAACCAUCGGCAAACUCUGCAAGGUUGAGUCUCAGACUCCUAGGCGGCCCCUCGGAAGAAGACGUGGAAGAGGAGACCACGACCCCGUCAGCAGCUGCGGCAGAAGCGGCCACUGCUAGCCAUCGAACGAAUCGAUCUUCCUUUUAUACCCGUAUGUACGGGGCGGAGACUGGCGAGGGCGGGCCAUUGGCCAAUCCCCAUUGGCAUUUUAGUUUUAUCUCGGAGAUGAUAGGUUCUCAGAACACAACACAAUGUCGAGAGACUGACUGAAGGGGAACUGAAGUUAGUUUCCCAAACAUUCACACUGUUCAUUGGUUCAGUGUAAAGUGGUUUUCCUUUAACAGGUGACAGCAUCUAUUAACAAUCUCCAACUGCGAUAAUACAGACUUUUCCAAAUGCUGAAUAAUCUGACAAACCUGUUUGUUUAAUUUGUCUCAAUCUACCAUGAACAUAUGCAAGACGUUUAUGAUCAACCAUUGAAAUUUCAUCAAUUAUAAAUAGUUGCAGUUUUCCACGUUUUGCUCUCAAGGAAUAUUUUUUUUUCAUUUCAAAGUGGUACGUAUGGCAGUGAAGCGUUUGUUCCGAUAGAGAAAGUGCUGUGGAUUGUAGCAGCCUUUAUAUUAUAAGCAGCAACACCAGUGGGCGCUGUUAACAGCACAUGUGUCUCAUCUGGAUUCUCUGACAGCUUUGAAAGGAUGCGACUGCUUUCAUUAUUGUCUGCAUGUUCAGCUUGAAUGCUACCAGUCAGAAUAAAAACAACUUUUGUUGAGCCCG